AAAUAUUGGGACAUAGAAAAAAGACAACUCUGUUCUGCAGAGUAGCUGUUGACAUUAUAGUUGUGCAGGCACUUUGUUGACUCUAGAGAACCUCGGGCCAAUCGCACAACCCCAUGACGGCAACUUUGCACUUGGAUGUCAUCCAUAUCAACAUUCAAUGCCAGCUUCUGCACCACGGGUAACGGGGAAUCAGGGUUCCAUUCCGUACAGGGACCCUGAGAAAUGGCUACCACAUGCAAGGAAGGCAGCAGGCACGCAAAUGACCCAUUCCUGACGCGGGAAGGUAGUGAU